rnacentral:rRNA from 1 species
CCUAAGGUAGCGAAAUUCCUUGUCGGGUAAGUUCCGACCUGCACGAAUGGCGUAACGACUUCCCCACUGUCUCGACCAGGAGCUCGGCGAAAUUGCAGUACGAGUAAAGAUGCUCGUUAAGCGCAGAAGGACGAAAAGACCCCGGGACCUUUACUAUACCUUGGUAUUGGCGUUAGGCGCGGAUUGUGUAGCAUAGGCGGGAGGCUUCGAAGCAUGGGCGCCAGCCCGUGUGGAGCCGCAAGGUGAAAUACCGCUCUGUUCUCGUUUGACGUCUAACCUCGAACAGUCAUCCUGUUCAGGGACAGUGCCUGGCGGGUAGUUUAACUGGGGCGGUUGCCUCCCAAAGAGUAACGGAGGCGCUCAAAGGUCCGCUCAGCCCGGUUGGCAAUCGGGUUUCGAGUGUAAUCGCACAAGCGGGCUUGACUGCGAGAACGACGGUUCGGGCAGGGACGAAAGUCGGAGAUAGUGAUCCGGUGCCGGCGCACGGGCGCGGCAUCGCUCAACGGAUAAAAGGUACCCCGGGGAUAACAGGCUGAUCAUUCCCAAGAGUCCAUAUCGACGGGAUGGUUUGGCACCUCGAUGUCGGCUCGUCGCAUCCUGGGGCUGGAGCAGGUCCCAAGGGUUCGGCUGUUCGCCGAUUAAAGCGGCACGCGAGCUGGGUUCAGAACGUCGUGAGACAGUUUGGUCUCUAUCCUCUGCGCUCGUUGGAAUCCUGAGGAGGCCUGCCCAUAGUACGAGAGGACCUGGGUGGACGGACCUCUGGUAUGCCGGUUGUCGCGCCAGCGGCAUGGCCGGUUGGCUACGUUCGGGAGGGAUAACCGCUGAAAGCAUCUAAGCGGGAAGCCUGCUCCAAGAUUAGGAUUCCUUGACGCUCCCCGGAGCGCCUGUAGCCCGCAUGUUGAACACGUGUUCGAUAGGCCGGAGGUGGAAGUCCCGCGAGGGGUGGAGCCGACCGGUACUAACGGGCGAACGCGGCACAC